GAGAGUUUGAUUCUGGCUCAGGAUGAACGCUGGCGGCGUGCGUAACACAUGCAAGUUGGACGACGGUGUCAUGAAGUGGUAACACGGAAUGGCAUACGGAGUAGCGGACGGGUGAGUACAACAUGAGAAGCUGUCCUUCAGCGGGGGACAACGUCUGGAAGCGGACGCUAAUACCCCAUAGGCCGAGAGGUUAAAGCAGAGAUGCGCUGGAGGAGGUGCUCGUGCCCUAUCAGCUAGUUGGUGAGGUAACGGCUCACCAAGGCGACGACGGGUAGCCGGCCUGAGAGGGUGAACGGCCACACUGGAACUGAGAUACGGUCCAGACUCCUACGGGAGGCAGCAGUGGGGAAUAUUGCACAAUGGAGGGAACUCUGAUGCAGCAACGCCGCGUGAAGGAAGAAGGUCUUCGGAUCGUAAACUUCUGUCCAAAAGGAAGAAGGAAGUGACGGUACUUUUGGAGGAAGCCCCGGCUAACUACGUGCCAGCAGCCGCGGUAAUACGUAGGGGGCAAGCGUUAUCCGGAAUUAUUGGGCGUAAAGAGUGCGUAGGUGGUCACUUAAGCGCAGGGUUUAAGGCAAUGGCUCAACCAUUGUAUGCCCUGCGAACUGGGCGACUUGAGUGCAGGAGAGGAAAGUGGAAUUCCUAGUGUAGCGGUGAAAUGCGUAGAUAUUAGGAGGAACACCGGUGGCGAAAGCGACUUUCUGGACUGAAACUGACACUGAGCACGAAAGCGUGGGGAGCAAACAGGAUUAGAUACCCUGGUAGUCCACGCCGUAAACGAUGAGCACCAGGUGUCGGGGUCGCAAGACCUCGUGCCGCAGUUAACGCAUUAAGUGCUCCGCCUGGGGAGUACGUUCGCAAGAAUAAACUCAAAGGAAUGACGGGACCCGCACAGCAGCGAGCAUGUGGUUAAUCGAGCAACGCGAGACUACAGGCUGACAUCUCUGCGUACCGUAAAAGUAUUUCUACGGACAAAGAGACAGUGUGCAUGUGUCGUCAGCUCUGUCUGGAAUGUGGUAGUCCCGCACAGCACCUGCUAGUGCAUCUUAGUGGCCUCUAAGACUGCGGACACUCGAGAGAGGUGAAUAGCUAAUCCAUGGCCUAUGUCUGGUCACACUGUUCUCAUGUGGCCGGUUCCAU
rnacentral:rRNA from 1 species